UCAAUAUUCUUCAUAGUGAUUAUUUUUUAAAAAGUAUUCCUUCCUUUUAGUCAGGGUUAAUUCCUUCUUAGUGAGAGUCAGUGCAUAAUCUUAGAAAUCACCUUUGACUUUUAUGGAGGAAGGUUGAUAUUAAGCAAAAAAGAAAAAAAGAAAUAUUUUUUAGAGAAGGUAACCUAACUGACUAGAUUUGAAAUUCUCCAUAUCAACCAUGCAUCUUUUUAGAGUCGAUUUCCCCACCCUAUGAAACGUACCUCUCACCCCCAGCAGAACUGUGACCCUCCAAAUCCCUCCCCAUGAAGUGAUUUUGGGAAGAUGUGUAGAUUGCAAAAGCAAACUGUCCUCUACACUUCUUGGGUUCUUUAACCUGUGUCAGAGGUGGAGUUCAUCCCAGCUCACCUUGUGCCUCUUGGCCUUCCUAAUGGAAUGUGAAAUUAACAUGCCCAUUGUCCAUUUCAAAAUCUAAUUCCUCUGAAAGUGUAGGGAUUUUCAAAAUAGAAAGGGCAGGGCCAAUUGAUGUGACAGGGUCCCCACUAACAAUGAAAAAAGUUAGUUGAGGAGGAAACUGCAAGCACUGGUCAGCCUAAUUAACC
rnacentral:lncRNA from 1 species